CAAUUCUGUUCAUUUUCUAUCUACCAUUUCCACAUACCGCAGAUUCGCAUACACUCAUGCAUACAUACAGCUUACACACGCACAAUCAUGUAGGAUUUAUGCAUACGAGCACUCAAAUCUCCCCAUUUGACCUAUUCUACAUAAUCUAGGCUAAUUUGCCAAUUCCAAUAUUGAUCGGCUCUGGCAUAGGCUAUUAUGCCUAUUUGUUUUUUCAUUUCGUGAUAGGCUAUUUCAUUCAAUUGCCUGAUAUCGGUGAGACUGUAUGCUACGAGUUGAAUGGGGAGCUGAGAGGACGAGCGUCAACUGUCAACCAGAUUCAGUCGGUGUUUUUUCUCUCUCGCCAUAAUCGUUUGAGCGUCGGUUUUCUUUUUAUCUGCGCCUGUUACAUUGUAACGCACUCGAUGUUAAUUCGGGGGAAUAUGUGAACAUCAUGCUGGCGGUGUGGUGCUUGGUCUUUGCUGCAGUGGGCGAGAGGCUUGCCGUGUCAGGCGGCGGUAGGUCGACUUUGGUGAGGGAUGCGAGUUUGUGGGACUGGUUCUCGCCAGAUGAGCGGGGAGACAGCAGCGACAUUGCGGCCGAAGUCGCCUAUCCAAAGCGGCUGGUGCAGCAGAUGGAGUCGGAGGAAGAAAAGUCCCACGGCUAUUUGGAUACCCGCGUGAAGAAUACCACGGAAGGUACCUCGCCAGUCCAUUUGGCCCAGAGUUGUUUCCAGGUGGAAACCUUCGGACACACCUUCACCCUGGACCUGGAGUUAAACCACAACCUCCUGUCCUCAGACUACGUGGAGCGGCACUUUCACCAAGACGGCAAACCCUCGCAGUCUAUGGGAGGGGAGCACUGCUACUAUCAAGGGAGGUUGAGGGGCUUACCAGAGUCCUGGGCAGCUCUCUCCACCUGCCUUGGCCUAUGUGGUAUGUUUUCUGAUGGGAGGUUCUCUUAUGGGAUUGAGCCUCUUUUCGACGGGACCAAUCAGACUGAAGGGGCCCACCUAGUGCGUAGGAUGCCUGAUGUCAGACUAUCCCCAGACUGUCAAGACUGCACAGACGACAGUGAGGGGGAUAGAGCCAGAGGUAAUGAUGAGGAGCAGAUGAAGGAUCCCCGGGCCAGUGAGGUGCUGAGGCGCUCUAAGAGACAGCUGCCACGCAGGCCCACCGUGCAGUCAGAGACCAAAUACAUCGAGCUGAUGGUGGUCAACGACUACGAAAUGUUUGUGCAGCUGCGACGCUCCACUACCCAGGCCAGGAACUUUGCCAAAGCAGUGGUCAAUAUGGCUGAUGCAAUUUACAGGGAACAGCUGAACACACGCAUCGUGCUGGUUGCCAUGGAGACCUGGUCGUCGGCCAACAUGGUUCCUGUGGUGACCGACCUGUUGACGACGCUGCAGAACUUCAUGAAGUACAGGAAGGACAGUAUUAAGGAACAAAGUGACGCCGUGCACCUCUUCUCGGGGCGUACGUUCCAGAGCAGUCGCAGUGGGACGGCCUACACCGGAGGAGUGUGCUCUCUCACCAGAGGAGGGGGCAUCAACGAGUAUGGGAACGUGGGUCCUAUGGCCAUCACUCUGUGCCAGAGUCUGGGUCAGAACAUUGGGAUGAGGUGGAACAACAUACGCAGCUCUGCGGGAGACUGCAGAUGUCCUGAUUCUUGGCUUGGUUGUAUCAUGGAAGACACUGGAUAUUACCUGCCCAGAAAGUUCUCUCGCUGCAGUGUUGAUGAGUACAUCCAGUUCUUGCUCCAGGGGGGCGGGAGCUGCCUCUUCAACAAGCCCAACAAGCUGUUGGACCCCCCUGAGUGUGGGAACGGCUUCGUGGAGACAGGGGAGGAGUGUGACUGUGGGUCUCAGCUGGUGAGGGUCUCUUUAAGGAACUGUAACCCAUACAUGAUGAGGGACCAGAACCCUCCAGCAUGGAUGGAACUACUGCCACAGCCCUAUGGGCCCUGGUUAAAAGAGUGUGCCCGUAGUGGAGGGGCUUGCUGUAAGAAGUGUACCCUGACCCACGAUGCCAUGUGCAGUAGUGGACUGUGCUGCAGUGGCUGCAGGUAUGAGCUAAGAGGAGCGGUGUGCAGACAGGCUGUGAAUGACUGUGACAUCCCAGAGAGCUGCACAGGAGACUCCAGCCAGUGCCCACAUAAUGUGCACAAGCUAGACGGAUACAUGUGUGACAGUAGUCAGGGUCGUUGUUAUAGUGGUCAGUGCAGGACUCUCGAUGGCCAGUGUAAGGGACUGUGGGGCUACAAUUCAGCAGACCGCUUCUGCUAUGAGAAGCUGAAUGCAGAGGGCACAGAGAAGGGAAACUGUGGGCAGAGUCCUGAGGGCCAGGGAUGGCUGCAGUGCAACAAGCCGGAUGUGCUGUGUGGUUUCCUGUUCUGUGCCAAUAUGACGCUGAAGCCAAAGUUUGGGGAUCUGGAGGGGGAAGUGACCAGCCUUACAAUAUACCACCAGAACAAGUACCUGGACUGCCGAGGGGGCCAUGUCCUGCUGGAGGACGGGUCAGACCUGGGCUACGUGGAGGAUGGUACGCCGUGCGGCCCCAACAUGAUGUGUCUGGAGCGCCGCUGUCUCCCCGUGGCAGCCUUCAACCUCAGCACCUGCUCCGGCUCCACGCUGGGACGCACCUGCUCUGACCACGGGACAUGCAGUAACGAGGUGAAGUGUAUCUGUGACAGGGACUACACCGGGAAGGACUGCAGUGUCUUUGACCCCAUCCCUGACCCCACGCCGCCUGCCAGCACGGAGAAGAAAGGUCCAAAGCUCCUCUGCCUGUCUGUUUGUCUGUCUGUUCUCCUCGUAUCCCUCUCAUUGUCUGUCUACCAUCACGUUAUCUCUUUGUGUACAUACAUGGAGUAUAGGGUAGCUAUAGUCUCGCUUUUCAGAUAGCUAUUGCCUUAGUCAUGAUUUGGAUGAAAGGGCAGUGGAGUAAAGUAAGGGGAACUGACUGACUUUGUCUCUACAUGUGUGCAUAUACUGUAUGCGGGUGUCUGUGUGUUUGUGUGGGUGUUUCUAUAAUUUACAGGCACAUGGCUUCUAUCUUCAAGUGUCUUCCUUCCUAUCUUACAGUCUGUAUCUGAUUCAGACGGGUUGGGUUAAAUGCGGAAGGCACAUUUCGGUUGAAUGCAUUCAGUUGUACAACUGACUAGGUAUCCCCUUUUCCUUUCCAUUGACACAGGGCUCAUAGGGCUCUCAUAGGCCCCAAAAACCAAAUCCACCCUAAGCAAGAGGGUGUCCAGCUGAAAGAGCAAGAGAGGGGGAUGAGAAAGAAGUAAUAAAAACACCCUCCUUUUUUUAACUGUCGCCUCCCUGAUCUCCCCUCGCUCUCCCACGCGCUCCCUCUUCCUCCACCCCACGUCCUUUCUUACUCUCCCUUUCUCUUUCCUACUCUCUUUCUUUGGGUAUCUUUUCUAUCUCUUUCUUCCUCCUCUCUUUCUCUCUUUCUCUCUCUUUCUCUCGUUCUCUCUCCUUCUCUCUCUUUCUCUCUUUCCGGAUGUGGUUGAUGUGCAGUGUCGAUGCUGUCCUCUGACGUGUGUUUUUGGUGGUGUUGUUUUGUUCCCCUCCGCACCCCUCCUCCCCCCUCCUUCCUCUGCGCAGGUCCCAGUGGCACCAAUAUCAUAAUAGGGUCCAUCGCAGGUGCUAUUCUUCUGGCAGCUAUAGUCCUAGGGGGGACAGGAUGGGGAUUUAAGAAUAUCCGAAGAGGAAGAUCUGGUGGAGGAUAAGAUGUCUGUCUGUCUGUCUGUCUGUCUGUCUGUCUUGUCUGUCUGCUCCUGUCUUUCUCUCACUCUGUGACGUUUCCAAGUCGGAGAAGAGGGAAAAAGAACAAGUCUUCCACUCCUGUCCCGAACCUCUCCAGACCUCUUCUGUUAACAUCUCCUGUCCACUUCCCGUCUGUCCACCUGUCUAUCUCCGGCCCCUCCGGGCCAGUGUAGCACCUCCCACAUUGCAUACCAGCCAAUUAUAUUAUCCAAUCAGGAUAAAGUCUUUGCCACGGACAGAAUGAGAAGGUUGUUGGUCCCUAGAGGGGCGUCGGGGUCUUCCUCCUUUCCAGCGGCUAAGUAUUAUGCACUUCGGUGUCUGCGUACUGUAGUUCCCUUUCCUUCCGCUUACGACAGUCCAAUGAAGAACAUGUCAACAGUGGACAAAUUCAGUAUGAGACAUGUCUUUCCAAUGCUUGUCUGGAAACAAACUUCUGGCCGCUGUUUGAGAAUGCUGGACUGGCCCAGACCUGCCAUCUGAAAAACGAUUUAAAUCAUAGGAGGUUGUCAAGGAAACACAGAAAAACAAACAUUUAUCAAAGACUCAAGUGGCCAUUGGAUCAGUUGAACUGCCCCUUUCAGAGAGGCCAUGUCAGAUGACUGGAUGACAACCCAGAUUCAGACAUUAUCUAGUCACAACAACACGGAUGUGAUCCAAGAAGAGUCCUGUAUUGGACGUGUUGUGUACAGGCCAUUUCCAAAGAAAGAACAGCAACUUAUUGUGAGAAUGACUAUGAAACAAAAGCAGUAGACCGUUCAAAACAUCAUGGACUGAUGUAGGGUUUAUGUUGAUUGUUAAUUCUUUGUUCCUGUCUGUUGAGAUGUGUUGAGAUGUAGGAAGGGGGAGUUAGACCCUAUGGUUUUGGGAUCAUAUUUAAAAUGCAGCAGAGACCGUAACUCAGUGUUUUCAACCGUAGAUCUACCAACACAACAUUCCACAUAGUGUUAGUUAACAGAGCCUGUCUGUAUGUGUUUGUAUUCUAUUCGCCACCUUCUUAAUAGGCCCAAAGUGUGUAUGGUAAAGGAGGUUGAAAGUGUGUGUGUGUGUGUGUGUGUGUGUGUGUGUGUGUGUGUGUGUGUGUGUGUGUGUGUGUGUGUGUGUGUGUGUGUGUGUGUGUGUGUGUGUGUGUGUGUGUGUGUGUGUGUGUGCGUGUGUGCGUGCGUGCGUGUGCGCGUGCGUGCGUGCGUGCGUGCGUAGGGUACCACAAAUUCCGGUUACUAUCACAAUAUUUCCACGUUUUCCUGAAAUCCUGGUUGGAAGAUUCCCGGAAUUGUGAAGGAAUAAGCAGGGAAGUAUGGAAACCUCCAACCAGGGUUGCUGGAAAACCAGGGAAUGCUGAGAAAGUUACUGGAAUUUUGUGUGUGCGUGUGUGAGAGAGAUUAAGCGAGGAAGAGAGCAGGUGAAUUAGAAAGGUACGUGCUGUGUUUAGGACAGUUAUGCCCUUGUUCACCGUGACACUCCUGCCAACAACACUGGUAGAUCGUUUAUAGAUUUUUACUUCUAGAAAAAGUUAUCUUUCUGUUACCUGGCUUUGUGCUCGGGAGCCAAUGGCAGCACACUAACAAACAAAUGGUUUGUAUUGAAUAUGUAACAACCAACUUAAACGAGCACUAGCCUACAGAAUGUGGGAACACAUAUGCACAUCUAUUUGUAUAUACAGUAUGUACAAGAAGAUAAUACUGAAUGUUGAAUACACUGUAUGAAAUUGUUUUAAAAUGCAAUGUUAAUAUUUAUUCGUUUUAUCUGUUUCAACUAAGUAUCUAUCUGUCUCCUGCCAUAUAACUGUACAUCUCCUUUAAGCCAUUCCUAGCUGUCCAUCUAUCUGUCGGCCCGGCACACUGCCUAGUAAGCUAGCAAUCUGGCCAUCUAUCUAUUAUUGCAGCUGUCAAUCUAAAUGCCAUCUAAAUAUUGGACACUUGUUGAUAGGCUCUGAGCCUUAUGCUGAUGAUGCUUCAACACAGUGAGUUUGAAAUGACCCCAGGACACUUCCUCAGUGGAAAUGUGAUGAGAUGAGGUGCAUUACUAUUGACCAGGGCCCAUAGUGCUCUGCUGGUGAAAAGUAGUGCACUACAUAGGUAAUUGGGUACCAUUUGGGACACAACCUGGGGUCUGGUACACUAGGUGUAUGGAGAGGUCUGUUUGAUUCAGCUGAGUUCUGCACUAUGGCAGCUGCACUAUAGUUCUUCACCAUAUGUACAGAAUAUGUACAAUCUUUAGAUGGUGGCCAGCUUUCUUGCGUUUUGAAUUUAGGAAGCAGAGAAAAAGAAACGCAUCAUGUCCCAUAUUUUUAAACACUAUCUUUUUAAGUAGACAAUUGAAAUAAACAAUGUAGAUGAAUUGAAAUGAAGGGGAAAUAAAAUAUUAAAGUCAAAAGUA